CGAUGAGGCAGGUUUUGCGUCUACGAUCAAUGUUGUAUAUGUAUUGUAUACCCAACUACAAAAAUUGGCAGCGAAAUUGGCAGCGUCAACCAAGAUGGAAGUCGACACCAUACAUGCUGCUAUUUGUACAACAACUCUACUAUUACCUGUAAAGUACUCUGCAAUGAUGUGUCAAAGUCAGGGGAAUUAGCUCAAGUGGUAGAGUGCUUGCUUAGCAUGCGAGAGGCAGUGGGAUCGAUGCCCACAUUCUCCAUGUGUCUUUGUUUCUUCUCACAAAUGUUUUUUUUUUUUUUAUUCAUUUUGAAAAAUGUCAGCAAAUGUGUCUGAAAACCAACUACAAGUAAUAUACUAAGUAAUUUACUACGCCGACGGGAGUCGAACCCACGUGUGCACAGCACAAUGGAUUAGGAGUCCAUCGCCUUAACCACUCGUCCACCUCAUAUUUCCUCCAUGGAAAUUUACAUCCUUCACAGCAAUAUUUUCAAUGAGAGCUUGCUGAGCAUGCAAUGGGAAUUGGGGUUGUAGCCCAAAUUCUGCAAGUGUCUUUCUUUCAUGAUCUGGUUUCGCUCAGUCUGCAGGUCAAUAGCCUGUUUUCCAAAUUUAUAUUCCCAGGCUCACCAACAUCCCAGUGAAUGAAGUGAAUGCUUGGUAAUUAGUUUUUUUUAUUGAACCAAACACUGUAACAGUAAAUGCCUGUUUCAUUUGUAUUAAAGGCUGCUGAUACAACUAACGUGCAGUUUUUUAACCCACCUACAUCUGCCUUGGCCUAGUUGUUGAGCUUUGUACAAUACCGUGAUCUCAUGCUG
rnacentral:lncRNA from 1 species